rnacentral:lncRNA from 10 species
GGCAGGAGCCGCCUGGGGAAACGCCUGUGUUCCUGGCCACGGGCUGCAACUCACAGCCUCUCUACGUGGCUGCCUAACUGGGACAAUAAAUCCCUGGAGAUGAAGAAGAAGCAGUGUCUGGUGUACCCACCAAGUAAACUCUGGUCUUUUCCUGAUCCAGGAGAUAUUCAACUGAGUCUGGCACCGUUUAAGGUCUGAUAGGAGAUAUUUACCACCUAUUACUCUUUCUGAAGGCUGCUACCAGAAGGCUUCAUCUUCAUAACAAGAACCUUGGCCUCCACAACCCUCCUUAUCUUAACCCUAAGCAUUUCUGUCUUAACUCCUUAGAAAGAAACUUAACUGUUUCAACCAACUGCCAAUCAGAACACCUUUGAAUUCAACUAUCAGCUGUAAGCCCAACACCCUCCUUGAAGUUGUCCUACCUUUCUGGACCAAAUGAACAUAUACGUUACAUACACUGAUUGAUGUCUGCCUAUAAAUUCUGUCCCCCUAAACUGUGUAAAAUCAAGCUGUAACCCAACCACUGUGUUUGGAUACAUGUUCUCAGGACCUCCUGAGGCUAUGUCAUGGGUCAUGGUCCUCACAUUUGGCUCAGAAUAAAUGUCUUUAAAUAUUUUACAGAGAUUGGCUUUUUUUUCUUUUUUCUUUUUUUUUUUUUUUUUGUUUGUCAACAGCAUAGAAACAUCCAUACUAAACAUACCUGGCAGAAGGUCAGUGCAUCUCUCCC